UAACGAAUCUUCCGCAAUGGGCGCAAGCCUGACGGAGCAAUGCCGCGUGUGGGAUGAAGCGUCUCUGACGUGUAAACCACUGUCAGGGGUCGGAACCAAUGAUUGACCCCAGAGGAAGUGGCGACUAACUCUGUGCCAGCAGUCGCGGUAAUACAGAGGCCACAAGCGUUAGUCGGAAUCACUGGGCUUAAAGGGUGCGUAGGCGGGUCGGAAAGUGUUCUGUGAAAGCCCUCAGCUCAACUGAGGAACAGCAGGACAUACUACCGAUCUUGAGGCAAGUAUGGGCGGGCAGAACAGUAGGUGGAGCGGUGAAAUGCGUAGAUAUCUACUGGAAUGCCGAUGGUGAAGACGGCCCGCUGGGCUUGUCCUGACGCUGAGUGCACGAAAGCGUGGGGAGCAA
rnacentral:rRNA from 1 species